CAGUAGCCACGGUAAUACGUAGGGUGCAAGCGUUAAUCGGAAUUACUGGGCGUAAAGCGUGCGCAGGCGGUCUGACAAGUCAGAUGUGAAAUCCCCGGGCUUAACCUGGGAACUGCAUUUGAAACUGUCAGGCUGGAGUCUUGUAGAGGGGGGUAGAAUUCCAGGUGUAGCGGUGAAAUGCGUAGAGAUCUGGAGGAAUACCGGUGGCGAAGGCGGCCCCCUGGACAAAGACUGACGCUCAGGUGCGAAAGCGUGGGGAGCAAACAGGAUUAGAUACCCCGGUAGUCCCUGUCUCUUAUAC
rnacentral:rRNA from 1 species